UGCAAGUCGAGGGGCAGCAUAAAACAAGCUUGCUUGUUUGGUGGCGACCGGCGCACGGGUGCGUAACGCGUAUGCAACCUACCCUGUACUGAGGGAUAGCCCGGAGAAAUUCGGAUUAACACCUCAUAGUAUAUAUCAUUCGCAUGUUUGAUAUAUUAAAGGUUACGGUACAGGAUGGGCAUGCGCCCUAUUAGCUAGAUGGUAAGGUAACGGCUUACCAUGGCGACAAUAGGCAGGGGGCCUGAGAGGGUGGUCCCCCACACUGGUACUGAGACACGGACCAGACUCCUACGGGAGGCAGCAGUGAGGAAUAUCGGUCAAUGGGCGCAAGCCUGAACCAGCCAUGCCGCGUGCAGGAAGAAGGUCCUAUGGAUUGUAGACUGCUUUUAUUUGGGAAUAAACCUCUUUACGUGUAGAGAGCUGAAGGUACCAAAUGAAUAAGCACCGGCUAACUCCGUGCCAGCAGCCGCGGUAAUACGAAGGGUGCAAGCGUUAUCCGGAAUCAUUGGGUUUAAAGGGUCCGCAGGCGGACUUAUAAGUCAGUGGUGAAAGCCCAUCGCUUAACGAUGGAACUGCCAUUGAUACUGUAAGUCUUGAAUUCGGUCGAAGUGGGCGGAAUGUGACAUGUAGCGGUGAAAUGUUUAGAUAUGUCACAGAACACCGAUAGCGAAGGCAGCUCACUAGGCCUGGAUUGACGCUCAUGGACGAAAGCGUGGGGAGCAAACAGGAUUAGAUACCCUGGUAGUCCACGCCGUAAACUAUCAAUACUCGUUUUCAGCGGUAUACAGUUGGAGACUAAGCGAAAGUGACAAGUAUUGCACCUGGGGAGUACGGUCGCAAGGUUGAAACUCAAAGGAAUUGACGGGGGCCCGCACAAGCGGUGGANCAUGUGGUUUAAUUCGAUGAUACGCGAGGAACCUUACCGGGGCUUAAAUGUANANGGAAUGAUGUGGAAACAUGUCAGCCUUCGGGCCGUCUA
rnacentral:rRNA from 1 species